rnacentral:lncRNA from 1 species
UGGUGCUUGAGAUUGAACCUAGGUCCUCACACAAGAAGGCAAGCACACCAUCUGUAUCCCAGCCCCCUCCUUUUACUAUCAGUUUUGACACAAAACCAAAUUUUCACUAAAAUGGUGAAGAUGAACUUGAAUUUACUCUGUAUGUGGCUCAGGCAUGCCUAAAGCUUGCAAUCCUCCUGCCUCAGUAGCCGGAAUAGGUGAGAGUACACAUCUGUAUCACCAGGCUCAGCUGGAAUUUCUAAUGUUUAAUCCUGUCAGUCUAUGUGCUCUUUUAUGGUGGCCAACCACAUGGACCUUUUCCAGUUUUAAAUCCAGCGUCUGGUGGGAAGACGGUGAGAGAAAUGGUAUGUUGCACAGAACUGUGUUGAACUGGCUGACUUCAUCCUCAUAGGCAUUUAUUUCACAGACUUUGAAGAAUUAAACUGUUCACCCAGGCACAAGUGAUGACAGAAUAUGAAUUAUUAUUAGGUUACCAAAAGGUCAGUCAUUAAGCCCUCUUCCGGAUAGUUAAAUAGCAGUUUGAGUUUUAACUUACCUGAGUCUUAGCCUGCCAAGUUUGGAAGAAACUUAGGGAAAAUGUCUUAUUUACAUAUAUAUGUAUAAAUGACAGGGUCUGGAUUUCAAAACAUUCAGCCUAUUAGAAAAAAAAUUUCCUUAGGUACCAUAUUAACAAUGUUCUUGAUAUAGAAUAAUCUACAGUUAAAAUGUGCAGAAAUCAUUAAGUGUGGGGCUUGAUGGAUUUUCAGAAUCAAUGAAUUCUAAUUAAUACCUGGCAAAAAAAGUGACAUUUCCACAUUACCCAAACACUUCACCUUCCUAAUGAUAACAACUUUUGAUUUUUUCUAUUUCUAAACUUUUUAGGAAUGGAAUAAUUUUUGAAUAGCCAUUCAUAUCUGUUUUUUCUUACUUAAUAGUAUAUUCGAAGUAAUCCUCUGGGUUGUUGCAUAUAGUUAUGUCACUUAUUGCUAUAUUAUAUUCUGUUUUAUCUCAGUUCCAUAAUUGACAGGUCAGUUCUAUUGGUGGUGGUAAUUCAUGUUAUUUCUAGUUUUCGGUUGUCAUUUGUGGCUGCUGUAAUGUUUUUAUGUUAUUUAUUUAUUCUUCAUUAUUUGGUAUAUAUUCAGAAGAGGUUUUUUGGUCAUAUGAUAGCAUUGUUAAUUCUUUUAUAGGAAGUUUAGAAAGUAUUUACAAAAAUAAAACUUUUGAAAAUCUAUUUUAGAAAGACGAAGUUGUGUGUCAUAUGUCUUACCUUUGCUAAGAAUGUCGAUAUUUAAUAGUUUUUAAUAUUAAGACAAAAAAUAAUGAAAUAGCAGAGAAAUGAAAUGGAUUUCUAUUAAAUUUUGAUAAAACAUUUUAAGACCAUAGAGAAAAGUUACUGCUAAGGUUUUAUAACAUGUAGGAUAUCGAAAUAUGCAGAUAUGCUCCUGUGUUUAAUUUCUUUCUUUUUUCCUUGAAACUGUAGGAACCAGAUGUUAAAAAAUUAGAAAACUUGCUUCAGGGUGGUGAAGUAGAAGAGGUGAUUCUUCAGGCUGAAAAAGAACUAAGUC